GACGAACGCUGGCGGCGUGCUUAACACAUGCAAGUCGAACGGAAAGGCCCUGCUUUUGUGGGGUGCUCGAGUGGCGAACGGGUGAGUAACACGUGAGUAACCUGCCCUUGACUUUGGGAUAACUUCAGGAAACUGGGGCUAAUACCGGAUAGGAGCUCCUGCUGCAUGGUGGGGGUUGGAAAGUUUCGGCGGUUGUGGAUGGGCUCGCGGCUUAUCAGCUUGUUGGUGGGGUAGUGGCUUACCAAGGCUUUGACGGGUAGCCGGCCUGAGAGGGUGACCGGGCACAUUGGGACUGAGAUACGGCCGAGACUACUACGGGAGGCAGCAGUGGGGAAUAGUGCACGAUGGGCGGAAGCCUGAUGCAGCAACGCCGCGUGCGGGAUGACGGACUUCGGGUUGUAAACCGCUUUCGCCUGUGACGAAGCGUGAGUGACGGUAAUGGGUAAAGAAGCACCGGCUAACUACGUG
rnacentral:rRNA from 1 species